AAAUGAAUUGACGGGGACCCGCACAAGCGGUGGAUGAUGUGGAUUAAUUCGAUGCAACGCGAAAAACCUUACCUACGUUUGACAUGCCAGGAAGGCCGGAGAGAUCUGGUUGUGCCCGAAAGGGAACCUGGACACAGGUGCUGCAUGGCUGUCGUCAGCUCGUGUCGUGAGAUGUUGGGUUAAGUCCCGCAACGAGCGCAACCCUUAUCAUUAGUUGCUACGCAAGGGCACUCUAAUGAGACUGCCGGUGACAAACCGGAGGAAGGUGGGGAUGACGUCAAGUCCUCAUGGCCCUUAUACGUAGGGCUUCACACGUCAUACAAUGGUCGGUACAGAGGGCUGCCAACCCGCGAGGGGGAGCCAAUCCCAGAAAACCGAUCGUAGUCCGGAUUGCACUCUGCAACUCGAGUGCAUGAAGUCGGAAUCGCUAGUAAUCGCGGAUCAGCAUGUCGCGGUGAAUACGUUCCCGGGUCUUGUACACACCGCCCGU
rnacentral:rRNA from 1 species